GCGAGAGUCGAUGGGAAAUUAUUCGCGCAUUUAUAAAAUUAUUAAUUUAUAUAUUGAUAAUGAAUAAAGUACUAAUUUCCCAUACAGAAAUCCAGCACUGAGAGCUCUAAGCUUUUGAGAGUCAGGAAUCGAUUCCUCACAGUUGCAAGGUGCUACCGAUCCAUCUUCAACAGCCAUCUUUUACUGGUGCGCCGUCGCUGAAAGCUGAGGGUCGUCGGAGACCUCGUCGUCCUCUUCCUCUUCAUCUGCUUCGACUGUUUGGGGCGAUCGAUCAGGGUUUCAUCCGGUCCGUACCUCCCCGGGCACCGGCAAUCGCUAUCAGGUACACGGAAGAUCGUCCUCCUCCUAUCCAAUCGAUCAAUCACAAGUUAAUCUCGCCUGCCCGCAACACGAAUCGGAAUUUGGGGCGAUCGGGCGUUGGAAAUGGAGGAGGGGCGCUCUCCGGCCGCUGGAGCUACCUGGUGGAUCUCCGAUUCGGUUGGGACGCUCCGCGGCCAAUAUCAUCGGUUCCUUACUCCCGCCGCCAUCCCCUGCCCUAACCUACGCUCUCCUCUUCUCGAUCGACGGAU
rnacentral:lncRNA from 1 species